ACACGACUACAUUAGAUACCCGUGUAGUCCUAGCCGUAAACGAUACUCGCUAGGUGUCGGCCACGGUGCGACUGUUGUCGGUGCCGUAGGGAAGCCGUGAAGCGAGCCACCUGGGAAGUACGGCCGCAAGGCUGAAACUUAAAGGAAUUGGCGGGGAGCACAACAACGGGUGGAGCUUGCGGUUUAAUUGGAUUCAACGCCGGAAAUCUUACCGGGACCGACAGCAACAUGAAGGCCAAGCUGAAGACUUUGCCGGAUUAGCUG
rnacentral:rRNA from 1 species